GGAGACGUAUCGAAGUGGUCAUAACGGGGCGCACUCGAAAUGCGUUAGGGAGCAAUCCCACGCGAGUUCGAAUCUCGCCGUCUCCGCCA
rnacentral:tRNA from 1 species